rnacentral:rRNA from 1 species
AUUGAACGCUGGCGGCAGGCCUAACACAUGCAAGUCGAGCGGAGCGGCGGACGGGUGAGUAAUACCUAGGAAUCUGCCUGGUAGUGGGGGAUAACGUUAGGAAACGGACGCUAAUACCGCAUACUAUCAGAUGAGACUAGGUCGGAUUCACUGGUUGGUGAGGUAAUGGCUCACCAAGGCUACGAUCCGUAACUGGUCUGAGAGGAUGAUCAGUCACACUGGAACUGGGGCACGGUCCAGAGUCCUACGGGAGGCAGCAGUGGGGAAUAGUGGAAAAUGGGCGAAAGCAUGAGCCAGCCAUGCCGCGGGUGUGAAGAAGGUCUUCGGAUUGUAAAGCACUUUAAGUGGGGAGUCGUUACCGACAGAGUAAGCACCGGCUAACUCUGUGCCAGCAGCCGCGGUAAUUC